UACGGAGGGUGCAAGCGUUGUCCGGAUUUAUUGGGUGUAAAGGGUGUGUAGGCGGGGCCGUAAGUCAGGGGUGAAAGGUCGCAGCUUAACUGCGACAUUGCCUUUGAUACUGCGGUCCUUGAGUGUCGGAGGGGCCACUAGAAUUCGUGGUGUAGCGGUGAAAUGCGUAGAUAUCACGAGGAAUACCAGAGGCGUAGGCGGGUGGCUGGACGACAACUGACGCUGAGGCACGAAAGCGUGGGGAGCGAACAGG
rnacentral:rRNA from 1 species